CUGGAAUAAGACGUUAGGUCAGCCGUAUUCUCAAGUAAUACCUUUGCAUACGCUUUAGUAUUGGUUCUAAUAGAAGGUAUUAAGUGCCAUGACCAAUUAAUAUGCACAUAUACUCUAACUAUUCCCUGGGGAAGUGGUUAGCGCUACCUUGGAAAAUAGUUAAUAGAAGGUGUUUUUUUAGAGACGGAAGUGAAGAAGAUCUAAACACUGGAUACCGUCCGGGGAAGCGUCAGAAUAAUAACUAUUGAAAUGGCGACCGGCGGACCCAAUGCUCCCGGUAAAGUGGGGGUAGAGGAAGAGAAGUUUAAUAGAGCCAUAAAGGCGCUGAAAAAGUCGCACGGACAUUAUACCAAUUCGCCUCGAAUAUGGGAGAAAAAAAUUUGCAAACUGGAUCAAAUUGGUCAGCAUUUCCCGGCUAACGAAAAAUUCCAAUCUAAUAGAGAAUUCAGGGAGGCAAUUGUGACUUGGCACAAUGACAAAACCAGAAUCAAAAGCUCAAUGUACCAUUGUUUUGAUGUCUGCAUUCUAUCAACAAAAAAUACAAACCGAUAAACCCAGAAUUAGUGGAUGUACUCAGCUACAGAAGGACUGGGUACGUAAGUACAUUGAUAGAAUUUGUACAUUGGCUUUGAUGUCAGGUUUGAAACCUGUGAUCAAAACAGCAAUUGCGGUGGUAGUGGAUGAAAUAGAGCAGAAAGCUAAUUCCGCAGAUGUACGAGUGGUUAAUGCAGCCAGAGUGAAAGUCAUUAACAGUGGUUUCAAUGGCCCAAGUAAGACAAGGAAAUGGGGAGGAAAGGGGAAAUCAAGAGUCCUGUUUUAGGUGUGGGGCUGUUGGUCAUUGGAAAAGGGAGUGUAAGGUAGGAAUGGAGCCCUGUGCAUUCGGGAGGGAUACUGCGAUGCAAAAAUGUGCAUCUUUGUCAAAACAAAAGUAACAUCCUUUUUGAAAACAGCGGGACAGGAAGAUGUUACAUAGCAGUGAAUGGCCUCGGUUGGAUUGAUAGUGGUUCAUAGACAUUACAGUUUCUAUGUGAAGUGAGACGUAGGAGCCCACGUCUCAAGCAACUUUUUAAUAGAUGCCAGGGAUCAAAUAUCGCGGAUUCCUUAUGAUGAGAAAUUGGCUAACAUUGCCAUAGGAAAAAGUAUUUUGGGUUGAAGAAUCUAUGCGAAAUUUCAAGGGAAUGGAUUCUAAAGAGGUAAAAAAAUAUUAUCUGGCCAAACACUCCUUGCCAACUCAGAAAAGCUUGGGGGGGGGGGUUUAAUCUCGUGAGACGUUUUAUUAUGAAUUUACAUUUUGUCGUCUUAUUCUGAAAUUGAUUUAUAGAAGGGACGAACGGGAGGAGGGGUCACCAAACCUAAAAUGAACUUUUUUGUUGUUCAUGAACAUUGUGGUGCUGUGGUUAUGGAGAAUCAUGGGGAAAAGAGAGCAGUGACUCGUUAGACUCGGUGGCGGGAUAAUGUCGCAGUGUCUAAGGGUAGUACGUGCCAAAUAAAGGAUAAAUAAACGAUGGGGUAGAUUAAAACAAAUGUAAUGAUUGGAGACAGGGAAAGAAAAGGGAAAGGAAAUUCUUAAUGGUGUUGAAUGACCUGUGUCCUGACUUUCUGGUGAAGCCUGAUCAACCUCACUAGAAAUGAUCGAGACAGGGGAAAUGACCAGUUCCCUGGGGCCCUGGUCCUUGGAUUGGAUCUGCUGGAUUGUUGGGAUUCCCCCCAUGAGUUAGAGUGCUAACUCCCUGAUCUGGUAACUCUUCUGAGAAGUCGCCAGUAAAAUAAGACAAUGACCCAACACACCUCCAGGCUGUGUAAGGGCUAUUUGACCAAGAAGGAGAGUGAUGGAGUGCUGCAUCAGAUGACCUAGCCUCCACAAUUACCUGACCUCAAUCCAAUUGAUAUGGUUUGGGAUGAGGUGGACUGCAGAGAGAAGGAAAAGCAGCCAACAAGUGUUCAGCAUAUGUGGG
rnacentral:lncRNA from 1 species